rnacentral:piRNA from 1 species
UGAGAUGACUCUGUGGUGGGCCAUGC